GACGAACGCUGGCGGCGUGCUUAACACAUGCAAGUCGAGCGGUAAGGCCCUUUCGGGGGUACACGAGCGGCGAACGGGUGAGUAACACGUGGGUGACCUGCCCUCAGCUCUGGGAUAAGCCUGGGAAACCGGGUCUAAUACCGGAUAUGACUCCAUGACGCAUGUUGUGGGGUGGAAAGCCUUGUGCGGCUGAGGAUGGGCCCGCGGCCUAUCAGCUUGUUGGUGGGGUGAUGGCCUACCAAGGCGACGACGGGUAGCCGGCCUGAGAGGGCGACCGGCCACACUGGGACUGAGACACGGCCCAGACUCCUACGGGAGGCAGCAGUGGGGAAUAUUGGACAAUGGGCGAAAGCCUGAUCCAGCCAUGCCGCGUGGGUGAAGAAGGCCCUAGGGUUGUAAACCCCUUUCAGCGGGAAGAUAAUGACGUACCGCAGAAGAAGUCCCGGCUAACUCCGUGCCAGC
rnacentral:rRNA from 1 species